rnacentral:lncRNA from 1 species
GUUUACGAGUCCUACCCGAUUGCCCCCAUCUCCUGUUAGCCGAGCAACCGGGCCACUGCCCUCUCCCGCAGCCCGGGGGCCGCUCGGGGCUCGGGCCACCUGCUGCGGGGCCAGGGAGGGGCAGGGCCGACUCCUCUGACCCGGUCUCCUGCUCUUUCUAUCUGGAAAGGAACGCGCAAGCCCCAGCCCAGUCCGCGGGCGCCACUCCGGCUCCAGGGCGAGGACGCAGCUACUCACCGCUCGCCGCCCGUCACCUCUCCUUACUGGACCCCGAUCGCUGGAACGGCUCACGGAUUAUUUAAAAGCCGGCUCCGGAGAUCCCCGGGACGGCUUCCCGAGAGCCCGCCCCGCUGCCCCGCCCGCCAGCCCGGACGGGAACGGACCGCGGGUCAGCAGGACCCCGGACCCUGCGGGAGGCAGCCGAACCCAGACACCCGGCGAAGACCUGUUGCGGCCUCCCCCUGUCCCCGACCAACUUCCAGAGAUGGAGCUGCCGGGACGGGGGUGACCCUUAAACGUACUCACCGGCUACGGCCGAGCUGAGCGCGGGACCAGGGGCUGGGUCCCGACCCGCACGGUAAUUUAAAUAUCGCCAAGCCUCGGCCUCCGGCCGCGCUCUGAUUGGUCGGCCGAGCAGGCGGUCAGGCUGCCCCGAGGGCACCCACCGGACCCCGCGGAACUUCACUUCCUGCGCCUGGAACCCGGCCCCUGCACACCCUGCUCGGGACACGUCGCCUUGCACCCGACCAGAGCCCUCUCCUCGGAAUGCAGCUACCUUCCCGAAAACUCCAGGUUCCCAGGCGCCUCCGGUGACUCCUCCGGGCCUUUAGACUCUGUGGCCUGCUCCGAAGGCGUUGUUUGUGAAACAAAACUAAAGGAAAGCCAAACCACAGGGGUGGGGGUGCAGCGCUUGAAUACCAUGCACGUGGCCUUGGGUUCUCCUCGCAGCACCCAGACAAAACACAACAAAACUAGUUUGGUUCCUUAGUGUGUGUCUUUGCAUUGCUUAGUUACUGGACUCAUAAAAAGGACUGAGCUGUGAAAAGGGCAUCUGCUAACGCUCAGAGCACACUACAUCCGAUCCGAUCGCUGGGUGCAUAUGGGCCUCCUGGACUGACGGCGUCUGAGAAUCUUCACCCCUGCUGGCGUUGCGCUGAGCCAUGGAAAGCCAGAAGUAACCAUCCUUGUGACUCCCCUCCUACUGGGCGCCACGUCCUCACUCACCACUUCCUUUCUGGAAUUGAGGAUACAGUGGCCCUUUUUGUCUGCCCACAUCUGUGGAUUCAACAGAAGCUCUUCGGUGUUCAGACAUGGAUUUGCACAGGGCUCUGCAGCGAGCGCCAGGACUUCGGCCUUUGACUGGAUCCCUGGACUCUGCAGGACACGCGUGGCCCACUUACACUCAUCCACCUUGGACUCUGCAGGCAGCCAUUGUAAGCCGACUUAGUAAAUCCUUGGAAUGUCAUAUAUACAAAUCUUUGUAUUACAUUCGGGGCCCUUGGGCAACUUCUUCAUGUAGC